UACGACAGCAAACUGGCCUGGUUCGACCUGGACCUGUCCACGCGGCCGUACCGGCUCCUGCGGCACCACCGCCGCGCUCUCCGCUCCGUGGCGUUCCAUCGCCGGUAUCCGCUCUUCGCCUCCGCCUCCGACGAUGGCACCGUCAUCGUCUGCCACGGAAUGGUCUACAAUGACCUGCUGCAGAACGCGCUGCUGGUGCCGCUCCAGG